AUUAUCUCCAAAAGAUUCUAUACAAUAGCCUCUAACCCCCCACUCUGAAAUUUUGCAUCCAUCCUACCCUAGGCAACCACUAAUCUAAUUUCUAUCUCUAUAGAUUAGCAUUUUCUGGACCCUUUAAAAAAUAAAUGAGGGUUUUCCAGUGAUCAUGGCAGAUGGGAUGCAGGACUAGAUUGCAGCUCCAGACAGAGCAGCAUGCAGAGGCUUGCAUUGUGAAUUUUAGCUGCAGAUCAACUGCAAGAACAGACCAGCAAUUCUGAGAGGAUCCACACACCCUCUGCAGGAAGAGUACUGCUCCUGCAGGACCUGGGAGACAUCCCAAACACUGUGAGUGCCCCAACAAUGGAAGUGGGAAAGGGUGAUCCCCCUCUCCAGAAUACACAUCCCCACUGGAGAAGCUGAAGUUCUGUUUGCAGGAGAAGUUCCUGACUUUAUGUGAAGCUGAGUCAAAUUAGAGAACCAAGCCAAGCAAAAUACAGGGGUAGAGGAAGUAGCAGAAAGGCACUGGGAGCUCUCUGGAUACCCAAGCGGCUCAUUCCUGCCUGGCAUCACAGGGAUCUAUCAGGAGGGUGGCCAGUGAUGCAGGGGGUUCAAAGAUUCUCCUCAGGACCUGAAGGCUUGAAGGGAUGAGUAACUCCUCCCUUCUCAGGCCCAGCCCCAAGAUGCAAGACCACUUGCAUCAGCAGCGUGUGUCAGCAAGAUAGCAGAAGCAGGAAGAGAGCCGGCCAGAAGACACUUACCCUGGCUGGAAGAGAUGUACCCCUGAAGAUCAAGAAAUAGGCCAUCCAGGUACUACAUAGCAGUCACAACAGACUGGGACACUUACUGUUUACAGAGGACUACAAAACCCCUGUCCCAUCCUCACUUGGGGCUGAUGCCAUUUUAGGCCUCAGCCCACCUGCAACCAGGCGUUCAUUAAAACAGCAUGUUGCUCCACACCGCCUCCUGUUGUCUGUUGGCGCGCUGUUGGGGUUCAAACUGAUUCAAGAACCUUACAUCUGGUGCCAAAUCCUAGGAGGGGCUCAGGUCUGUGUCGCUUGUGGACCUAUCCCUCCACCCCAGAGAGCAGGCCACAGCAAUUAGACAGAGGAAGCUCCUCAGCCUCCAGUCGCCUCUCUGUGCAUGCGCAUCAGCCACUGAUCUCGCCUACUGGACUCAAAAAGGGUGCCCAUAAAGUGGUAAACUAUGAAAAACUUUCAGAAAUCACCGAAGGUCCUGACAAAAACCCAGCCCUUUUUCUCUCUUGUUUAACUGAAGCCAUGAGAAAAUUACCAACCUGGACCCAGCCAGCCCAGAAGGAACCACUAUUUCAAACCUUCAGUUCCUCACCCAAUCUACCAUGAUAUUUGGCGCAAGCUUCAGAAGGUUGAUGACGGCCCUCAAACCCCACAGUGGGACCUUCUUAAUUUAGCCUUCAAAGUCUUUAACAGUUGUGAUGAGGAAAGUAAAAGAAAAAAACAGUUUCCAAUGCUUGCCUUUACCCUGCAGGCCCACAGGGCCACAGCUCCAUACAGAAGCCUCCUAGCAAAACACCUCCACCUGGCGCCUGUUUCAAGUGUGGCAAUGAAGGCUACUGGUCCAGGCCAUGCCCAAACCCAGCUGUGCUCACCAGGCUGUGCCCCCUCUGUGGAGGACUCAGUGAAAGUCAGGCUGUGAGCGGCUCCAGCAAGGAUCGCCUCCAUCCCUUUCCGAGCUGGCCAAAACCUCCUACUCGGAUCUCAAUGGCCUUGCCACUAAAGACUGACAGUGCCCUGGAACAGAUGUCCCAGCAACUACCAUUGCUUCAUCUGAGCCAAGGGUAACCCUGAUGGUGGCAGGUUUAUGAGUUCCUGGAGUGUGCUGUAUUAGUGAUGACCACAGGGUUCUAACAGAUGCUAUAAUUUAAUUUUCACACUGUUGACAAAGACAUACUCAAGAUGGGAUAAAAAGAAGUUUGAAGGACUCACAGUUCCACGUGGCUGGGAAGGCAUCACAAUCAUGGUGGAAUGCAAAGAGCAAGCCACGUCUUACAUGGAUGGCAGCAGGCAAAGAGAGAGAACUUGUGCAGGGAAACUACCCCUUAUAAAACCAUCAGCUAUUGUCAGACUUAUUCACUAUCAUGAGAACAGCACAGGAAAGACCUGCCUCCAUGAUUCAAUUACCUCUUACUAGGACCCUCUCACAGCACAUGGGAAUACAAGAUGAGAUGUGGGUGGGGACACAGUCAAGCCAUGUCAUUCUGCCCCUGGCCCCUCCCAAAUCUCAUGUCCCCACAUUUCAAAACCAAUCAUGCCUUACAGACAGUCCUCCAAAGUCUUAACUAAUUUCAGUAUUAACUCAGAGGUCCACAGCCCAAAGUCUCAUCUGAGAUGAGACAAGUGUCUUCUGCCUAUGAACCUGUAGAAUCAAAAGCAAGUUAGUUAAUUCCCAGAUACAAUGAGGGUACCAGCAUUGGAUAAAUACAGAUAUUUCAAAUGGGAGAAAUUGGCUAAAAUGAAGGGGCUACAGGCCCCAUGCAUGCCAGAAAUCCAACAGGGCAGUCAUUAAGCCUUAAAAUUACAAAAUGAUCUUUUUUGACUUCAUGUCUCACAUCCAGGUCACACUGAUGCAAGAGGUGGGUUUCCAUGGCCUUGGGCAGCUCCACACCUGUGGCUUUGCAGGGUGCAGCCUCCCUCCCAGCUGCUUUAAAGGGCUGGCAUUGAGUGUCUUUAGCUUUUCCAGGUGCAUGGUGCAAGUUGUUGGUGGAUCUACCACUCAGGUGUCUGGAGGAUGGUGGCCCUUUUCUCACAGCUCCUUUAGGCAGUGUCUGAGAAGCAACUCAGUGGGAGUUCCAACUCCACAUUUUCCUUCUUGAAGUCCCUAGGCUACACAGAAUACUGGGACGAUUUUUUUCUUUCUAGCCCACCAGGCCUGUGAUGGAAGGGGCUGCCGUGAAGGCCUGACAUGCUCUGAAGACAUUUCCCCCAUUGUCUUGGUGAUUAACAUUUGGCUCCUCAUUACUUAUGCAAAUUUCUGCAGCCAGCUUGAAUUUUUCCUCAGAAGAAGUUAACUCUUAUGGUUUAAUGUAAACACAGUAUAUUAAAAGUCUAAGUAUGUGCAUGGCAAAGAGACAAACAACUUGCUCUUUACUUGAGUCUUUAAUGUCCCUUUUAUGUUUGUAAAUGCUAUUAUCCAGGUAGUAUCAAUAAUUUUGUGUGGAUGAGUCACUUAUUUUAUGUAAUAUAUUUUACAAUAGUGUCAAGAACAUUCACAGUGAGAAGUUCCUUUAGUUCUGCAAUCACUUUGAGAUGGAAUUAAAGAUGAAAAUAAUUAUAUGAGUAUAUCAGCAUUUCUUGGAUAUUGUGCUUCAAGGAAUUUUUUGGUAAAAGUUGACAUAUAAUUGCUAUGCUAUACAAUUUACUGAUUAUUUUGUAAAAUCCAUUAUUUGUGGUAUAUUCACAGAAUUGUACAUCCAUGACAACAAUCAGUUUCAGAGCACUUUUAUUUGUAUCACAAAAUAAAC
rnacentral:lncRNA from 10 species